rnacentral:rRNA from 1 species
GGCUGUGUCAGCUGGGGGUGUGGGGUGUGGGGGGGAGUUGGGAACGAGCUCAAACGCUAUCGUUAUGGGGCAGCAGUAAUGGUGGAACUGUAGGGGGAGUGCCGGUGAUAAACCGGAGGAAGGUGGGGAGGACGUCAAGUCAUCAUGGCCCUUACGAGUAGGGUACGCACGUGUUGCAAGGGGGGGUACAGAGGGUUGCAAAGCCGCGAGGGGAGCUAAUGUGACAAAGCUGGUGUAGUCCGGAGUGGAGGUGCAACUCGACUCCAUGAAGUCGGAAUCGCUAGUAAUCGUGGAUCAGAAAGAGCACGGUGAAUACGUUCCCGGGCCUUGUACACGCCGCCCGUGAGGGCCAUGGAGGG